rnacentral:misc_RNA from 1 species
GAAAUGCGAUACGCAAUGCGAAUUGCAGAAUUCCGCGAGUCAUCAGAUCUUUGAACGCAACUUGCGCUGGAUUAACCUCCAGCAUGUUUGUUUCAGUGUGUUCAGGACUCCAACACCUCAAUGCGAUUGAAAGAAUCGAUUUAUCAAUUCUUUCUCUCGUUAAACAGGACGGCAGCCGGGUAGAACCGGCCCCAACGAAGUAGUCACUUUUUCUAAAGUGAUCUCGUUGAGUGCAAGGUCUCCCAACAAAGGCAGCUGUAAAGUAAUAAAAAUUACCUUUCUACGGCACCUGAAAUCAAGCAAGAACACCCGCUGAACUUAA